rnacentral:rRNA from 1 species
AUACGGAGGGUGCAAGCGUUAUUCGGAAUCACUGGGCGUAAAGGACGCGUAGGCGGGUUGGCAAGUCAGAUGUGAAAUCCUACAGCUUAACUGCAGAACUGCAUUUGAAACUGCUAACCUAGAGUAUGGGAGGGGGAGAUGGAAUUAGUGGUGUAGGGAUAAAAUCCGUAGAUAUCACUAGGAAUACCGAAAGCGAAGGCGAUCUCCUGGAACAUAACUGACGCUAAGGCGUGAAAGCGUGGGGAGCAAACAGGAUUAGAUACCCUAGUAGUCC